GUAAGGCGGUGUCGGUGGCGUUAGAGCGUGAAGUCUGUACGCUCAUCUCACGUUUCAGAUCCCUGCUGAAGACGGCCUCUGAAAAAGGCUCAUUCAUUUAUUUGUUUCACAGCUGGAUGUCGAACCAAGGGCUUUGCACCUGCUAGGCAAGCACUCUACUACUGAAAGCCCAAACUUGGCUUGUCCUCUUUAAUUUCUUACUCUCCUUAUGAAUUCCUGGCUCUGACCCUUUAUCCGCAUUCCACUUACUUCCAGGGGUGCUGGGAUUACAGGCUUGCAACGCCAUGACCGGUGCCUGCUCAGUGCAGGCCGGAUGGUGAGCCAGCACCGCACACUGGGGGUUGAACCCCGCGCGCUGAGCCUGCCUAAGCAGGUGCUUUAGUCCGCUGAGCUAUCUGGCCAGCCCUGAAAGGACAGUUUCUGAUACCAGAUUCAAUUGAACAAUGGAAGUAAAAAAGACAGUGGACUCAUAAGGUUUUUCAGAAUCAUGCAUGAUUAAUAAGUAAUGAUGAUUAAUGGUAAUCAUCAACUUAGAAUUAGAUAUCAGGCAAAAUUAUCUGUCAAGAGUGAGGGUGAAGUACAGAAAUGAAAUAAUUUUCAGAUUUAUAGAAACUGAAUUUAAUAUCUACAUAUAUUUUCAAAAAUAAUUUUAAAGGAUCUUUCCUUUGCAGAAUAAAAAUCAGCCUAGAAGAAAAAUCUGAAACAUAAAAAAUGAUUUGCACAUUACAUAAGAUAACACCAAAUAGCAAAAGUAUGUAGGUCAAGAGGUGGAUGACAAAAGCUAAAGAUUUCUGAGGUUUCUCUUUAGAGUGAAGGCAUAAGUUAACACUAAGAUAAGUGUGCAAGGCAAAGUUCCAAGGUAACCACUAAAACAACUGUAUAAUUUCCAGUCCAGCUGUAAGAGGAAAAAUGGACAAAAGGGAAAAUUAAACAGAACUUAAACAAAA